AGCUGGAAACACCCACUGGUCUGCUUCCACUGUGAGGAGAGAGCACCCAGAGACAGGAAGUUAUCAUGCCUGCUCUCCCCGUCUACAAAUCCAACACUGAUCUUCACGGGUCCUUGGUUGCAAAGGUUUGGCUGACCGAUCAGUCUACUCUUCCUGGUGGCUCACUCACCUCGUCAUCUCACGUGGGACCUCCCUGAUGCCAGCUGCCACUUGCCUUACCUGCUACCCAUCAUCCUGCCCUUCCGACACCAAUUCCUGCCCACUGCACGGGAUAUCCACCUGCAGCUGUAUCCGUUCUCCUUGGUUCCUGCUCCAAAGCUGUGGGCACACCUCUUUCUAGGUCUCAGCCACAGCCGUCCCAUUGCCCGACUGUGUUUUCUGCCAUGACAACCAUCUCUGGGAUCUACCAGCUGAUCAAAGCAGCCCAGGUAAGAAAGCAUGCACAGCACCCGGCAGAUAUUCAGAAGGUUUUUUUUUUUUUUUUUUUUUGCCUAUGUAGGAGAGAGGAUGCCUCACGUAGCACAUCUUCAAUUAUGUAUAAAGCCAUCAGCUUACAUUUUGAAGGAGUCUUGCUUUCUUCACACAUCAAAGACAUCCAAAAAAUUAAAAAGUCAAAUGUAUACAAACCGCAAUGGGCAUAGGGGUUCUCAAAAACUGUUGACUGUGUUACUAGAAAAUAAAUUGUAUAGCAUUUCUCAAAUGUAAAAACUGUAUUAAAUAUUCGGGAUUGUUAGUAUCUGUUUUUUUUUUCUAUCAGACUCACAAUUAUUAAUAAAUCUACUGAUUACCUCUAGCAGAA